UCUUUAGAUUUUUGCAAUUUCAUCGACAGCGAGUAAUACAUUCAUUGAUAAAUUAAUAUAGUUCUCCUUUUUCUUCAUUAUUAGAUGAAAAGAUAAGAUAAGCGUAUUCAUCCUAUAAGUAUGAGUUAUUCGCCAUUUGUAAAGCCGAUCAUUAGUUUCCUAAUAAAAAAAAACGGAUGUGAAAGAUAAUGAAUCCUCUGUGAAAGAGAAUGACCGAAUCCCAGGGGAGACGGUAUCCGCUUAAAAAUUUAUUGCCGUCAUUUUCCGAAAAGAGUUCGGAUAGGAAAACGGUCAGCGGAAGAUGAUAUCGGUCGGGCAAACUUAUGGGAUGGGAGUAGAUUAAUUAUUUUUAAUCCGUCUUUUAUCAGCCCACUCAACGCCCCGAAUCGAUGCAUUCGAUCGGACGUGAUACGAUAAAUUUGAUCCAAUUCGAUCACGUUAUCAUCGAUUCUUCCAACGCAAGUUUUAUAACGAUAACAAAAGUUAAUAUCAGCAAACAAACGUGACGUUCGAUUAAUUUAAGCGUAACGAACCGAAACAAGGGAAUGUAAAACUCAAUCGAACGCAUUGCCGUAUAAAAUCCAAUUGGUUCUCUUUUAAUUAGCCUGCGUGUAUUUAUAAGCCGCUUUUAUAUCCAACGGCAGUUCGAACAAUAAAUAACGAUAACAGGGCGUUAACUGAAGAGCGAAGACUCGGAAAUUCCUCUUCCAUGCAGCGCGUCUCGCAGAAAAGCGCGCGCGAGAAAGCGAGAGAGAGAGAGAGAGAGAGAGAGAGAGAGAAGGAGGUUACCUGAAGAAAAUGUGCAGAAUAAUAUAUCUAGAAGAAGAUUCAAUGUGUGUCGAAACGGAGGUGCUUCUUCACCACAGCGGAAAAAAGAGGAGACAGAAGCAGUAAAUACAGUAGUGAAGGAAAUAGAGAAUAAAUAUAACGUCUGCCCAUUUAUGAGUGAGCAUUUAAAUGUGAAUUAUAUUCGAAUAUUUCUUGAAAUAUUUCUCGACAAUUGAAAAAUACUGAGUGAACAGCGACGCACAGAUAAUAACUUCUGGAAAACAUCAGUGAAAUCUGUGACACUUCAAGAAUUCGAAAUUAUAUUCCUCCUGCUGCCAAGACCCAGGAUUUCCCAUUCGUCUGAAGCAUUUCGCGUAUUGAUCGUGAAAUUAAUUAACAAGCCAUUCCAAAAUGUUACAUCAGCGUAAACUAUGUAUACAUUGUAGGCCUCGCAAUGUGUAACAUCACGUAAUAAAUGUACCGGUAGUGUUAUAACCUAAUUAUUAUUAUAUAAAUAUUGUGUAUGGGUGUGAAAUUCAACAUUAUCUCAUUUUAACGUAAUUAUAAUAUUAAUAUGUGACUCUCGCCUACAUUGCGAAGUAUAUAUAAUAACUCGGCAAACUCAAGCAUCAAUAUGGUUUAUUGUUUAAUUAAGCUUCAGAACGAAUUGAACUAUAGAAGUAUAAGUACAUAAUCAGCUUACUUAAUUGGAUAUUGCAAUGAAUAGGAAAAUAGUACUUUUACACAAAUAUACAUAUAACGUAAUAUUUGUCAAUGAUCGUAGAAAAAAAUUACUACCUAAAUAAAAAAAAAACAAAAAAUAUUAUUAACUUGACGUUUGAAAGAACACACAUUCCUAUACCUAAAUUGACGUACUGUAAUACUUAUAAAGCAGACUUUUCAUCGCCGCAAUCGAUAGAUCAUGGCACUUUACCGUCGGCUUUGAACAGGAAAUUCAUUGGUCAGCGACUUAACAAAAAUAUUGUCGGUUCUUUAUUUGUAGGUUUCCCGGUUUUCCGCGAUCCUUUCUUCUUCUUAAUAAUGAUUUGCUAAGUGUCGUGGUGCUCGUAGCUCCAAUUGUUGUUUGCGCACCAGGAGGUUUAAGCUACCAGGAUCUACACGCGGAAAGAAAUCACAUCGCUGAUGCCGAUCUAGAUUACACUCGACGCAGCCGAAGAGCCUACUUACGAGGAAAUACGAGAAAAACUCGUCGGACCCUUCCUGAUUAAAUCCUACGUCCCACUGACAAGUUGGAUAACGCGUAAUUUCGUAAAGAGGAAAGGACGUACAUCGAUAAACCGCUCACAGCCGGACACACGGCCGAAGGCGAGAGCCCGUCUCUACACCGCGCCGAUAAACCCGAAAGCAAUUAUUCGCGACCCGCUAUCAACAUCGGCUUGGCACUUUCGCGCACAACCGGCAAUCUCGGCCGUAAUUUAUCGUAUCACGCAGCGUUCGCUGGAUCUGCCGGUUACAAGUUAGGCCUACGUGGGACCGGCUGCUAUAACAUAAUGCAGCCAGGUCGUCAAGUUUUCGUAUAUAGCCCCGACUUACACGGUGAUCUGUGCCGAGAAGGACCGACUAUAAAUGAGACGUUCUGUACAUGUACGAUGAUAGCUGCCGAAGAACGACGUUCGCGUGACACUCUUGGAUACGGGAAUUGCGGCUUUUAUAUCUGACUGACAGAGGACACGCGAUUUUUCCGGCCAAUCCGAAGAAAAGAAACCUGAAGACUUGGCCGAGCUAAUAUUCUCAUCAUUCGAACAAUAAAAAUAGUAGUAAUCACGAGGUUAAAAAAAGUAAUAAUUUUUUUAUCAUAUUUUUUUUAAUAAGUUAUCAUAAAACUACGUAAAAAAAAAUAGUACCUUGAUAGAUGCUUAAAAGUGAAAAGGAAAAAUUGAUUUUUAUCACCUUCGUCAAGUCCUUUGUAACUUUGUAACUGAAUCGCUGUCGGGACAAGGCUUGCAGAAUAAGGACUUGCAGAAAUCUAUAACGGCACUGAUUUCAAUGUCAAUAACAGCCCUGCGUAAAAACGCUAAUUUGCCAUCCGGAGAUAUGUAAACGAUCAAUCAAUGAGGUUACUAUAAAAACUGACCUUUCAAAAA